GAUGAACGCUGGCGGCGUGCCUAAUACAUGCAAGUCGAGCGGUAAGGACCCUACCAGGUUGUUCAAUCUAAGACAGAUUGAAGAACGUGGUGGGUUACACGAGCGGCGGACGGCUGAGUAACACGUAGGAACGUACCCCAAAGUGAGGGAUAACUGCUCGAAAGAGUAGCUAAUACCGCAUGUGGUCUUCGGAUUAAAGCUUUAUGCGCUUUGGGAACGGCCUGCGUAUGAUUAGAUUGUUGGUGAGGUAAUGGCUCACCAAGUCGACGAUCAUUAGCUGGUCUGAGAGGAUGAUCAGCCAGACUGGGACUGAGAACGGCCCAGACUCCUACGGGAGGCAGCAGUAGGGAAUUUUCCACAAUGGACGAAAGUCUGAUGGAGCAACGCCGCGUGCAGGAUGAAUGCCUUCGGGUUGUAAACUGCUUUUAUCUGUGACGAUAAUGACGGUAGCAGAUGAAUAAGGAUCGGCUAACUCCGUGCC
rnacentral:rRNA from 1 species